CUUGGGUCUCCGGCAGGAGCAGCCCGCGCCCUUCACUGCGGAGCCGAACACACCUGUGGCCGAGCGGCGACGCGGUCACGGGAGGUAGAGCAGCUGCGCAGAGAAGCGCCGGUGCGAGCUACACCUGCCUCAGGGCCCAAGCGCUCAGAAAAAAUGGCUGCCACCUCACUUCCUCCAAAUCUCACCCGAAAGCGACUCUUGUGGCUCACUCUACCUGGAAACAUACGGGGAGAUGAACUCCGGGGAUUGUGGUUCCACCUGGCCACGUCACCACAUUGGAAAGCCGCCUCACGUUUGAGGUGCAGCUCGAGAAUUUGCACUUCGAGUAAGUUGUGCGAGUGUGUGAGGCACCCCGAGAGUCCCUGCCCUCCACGCACGCCCAGCAGCAUUGGUUGUGCAGCACUGUCUCAACAGUCGUAUUGUGUCUGUGCGGCCCCUGCCCGCAUAUGCCAGCUGUGCUUCCGAUUUGUGGGACAGCUACAAAGCCUCACCUCCGGUUUCCAGAAUGCUCCUUUGGGAACCUGCACAGUCCCCGGCGAGGAACGCCUGGGGUUCUCUCAGCUGCUCUAGGAAGAAGCCCCAGAGAACCCCUAGGGGGACCCGAAGACCAUCAGCAAUUCACACUGACAUCAGCACAGGAUCCGCUCCAGUUUGGCUCCGGGCAAAGGCGAUGGAGACUCAGCACGAAGGGGAGAGAACGUUCAGGAACUUGUUUUGGCAUCUCAGAGAUUCAAAACACAAGAGAAAGAUUUGGAGAGAUUGAAAAGGAAGCAGCGAGAAACACAGCAAACGGCAAAGUAGCGAAGUGUGGGCUGCUCGGUGGACAGCAAAGCGUGAGCCCUGGCUGUGCUAUGUUUUCCGCAUGCACAGCAGAGAUGGGCCUUUCCUCCUAUGUAGGUUCCCUGAGGAAUCCCCAGGAAGGUUUUCGUCUCUUCAUACCCCCAGUGCACACCUGCAGGAAAGGGACAGAGUGAGCUAAGACGCUGCUGCUGGUUGUCAUGAGGCCUGAGCAGAAGACCCCCUACCGCUGACCACAGCAUCUUGGCGACUUCCUGAGAAGCGAUGGGACGUGAUCUGACAAUAUGCACGUUUAUUUUUACGCUUAGAAACAUUACUCUUCCAUAAUGGUUCUUCCUUUUCCUUGAUGGCACACAGGAACAAAGGGCUGUCCCACUUGUGUGUAAACACAGGCUUCCCUUGCCCCUUCCAGAUGCCUGCAGCAUGCCCUGAACCCCACGGCACCUCUGAACUAACUGGUUGCAGUGAGGUUCUCUCCAAACCCUGCCAACGGCUAGGGCCCUCCCGCCUUGCUUGUGACCAGGGCUUACGAGUAUGACUCCACAACAGGGCUGGGAUCCCAGAGCUUCUACACACUUCUUCAACACCCAGUUCUUCCCCCUCAGAAUCCUCUGUGAUGGUUCCUGAAUGCCCGUCCUCUAAAGCUGCUGCUGUGUGGCCUGGGUUGUGCCCGGGCUUCUCUGACCUGCCUUCCAACACAGCCUCAGCCAGCACUCGAGUGCUGGUGGAUGAAACUGUGGAGCCUGAUCUGUAAAGUUACUGGGCCUCCCUGCUGGCUAAAAUUGCCUUGGCUCCCAGCGGAGGAGCCUGAUGUGGGGCUCGAUCCCAUAAUGCCGGGAUCACACCCUGAGCCGAAGGCAGACGCUUAACGACUGUGCCACCCAGGCGCCCCUGCCUCGGCAUUUCUGAUAAGCAAGAGAGUUGGUCGCAAAAGGCCCCCACUCGAGUAGUAAAAGGUGUCCCGGGUAAGAGAAAAAUCUGGCUCACCUGGGAGGGGCUCAUCAUCCCCUGGUCAUCACCACUCUCCUCCACAGAAAGAGCCAGAGCCCGAGGAUCAGGCAGGGCUGUGGAGAAGAGAAAGGAGCUGUUAGAAGACAAUGUUUCUUGACUCCCCCUGGAGACCAGCCCAACUUAGAGUCUUCCCCCUUCUCUUUGUGUCUGCUUUGUCCCACCAAAGAAGGUUGGUGAAAAACCAAAAUGACACAUUUCUAAGAGGAGAGUCCCAGGUUGUUCCCUUCCAUGUCCAUCCAGGUUACCUACUGUCCCGGUUUUAUGAUUUUCUUCUUCAGUUUUGAUAACACACUUGAGUCAUCAGAAUUGGUCUGGGGACAUGUGUACCUGGUCUGAGAAUUACUGCACUUUGGUUUGCUUUUCCCACCAGUCAUGCCUAAAAUCUGUGCACACACCUAACCUACUGGGACCAGUAACCUCUCACUCACAUAAGGAAAGGUGCCCCAGGCUCCCCUAAGUGAUUUUGCAAAACAUGCCAACCAAGGCCCUUCAUCCCUUUGGACGUGCCUUAUUGAGGACCCCCCAGAUUCAUGUGGUCAGCCACAUUUCACACGCCCCCUCCUCCGAGUGGAAAGGAAUCCUACUUUCUGCACUUGGAGGGGACUUCCGCAUCCUCUUCACAGAAGCGUCCCUUCUUCCUCCCCAAACUGCGGCUGCUUACCGCUCUUGUGGAUGGGUCGGAAUUCUACUUCGGGGCUGUGAUUCAACUCUUCUGGUUCUGGCUGUGAGUUCUUCACCAUCGCCUGUCACAGACACAUGGAUCCUGUCUGUGCUUGCUUCAGACGGAUGUUUAGGGAACACAGUCCUGAUCCUGAGGGUUCCUUCUCCUCGAAGCGUCCCUCCUGCCCCUGUUCAAGGACUAGAAGUGGUCAGAGUUCUGUAGGUACUAAAACGUAACCAUCCCAAGAUGCAGAGGAGGAAAUCAGCCUUAUGCAGAUCACUGCAGGGCAGUAAGGAGCGUGGGUGUGUGGAAGACAAACAGGAAAGGUCUGGAACCCAGGCUUACUGCAGUCUGCCCACCAGCUCUCCUGGGGCUGCUCCUGUCAGUCCCUGGGCAAAACUCAGCCAACCAAAACUACAGCCAAUUUUCAGUAGGACCCAAAGGUUCAAUAUUGUUAGUAAAGACUAGUAAAGCUCCUUGCUUCCAGCUGGCUGCUGAUGAAUGAGAGCUACUCUCCAAAACACCACCACCACCACAAAUAGCUUCUAUGUUCUCCUGGGUGCGCCUCCUGGCCCAGAGUGGUGUUCGAGCCAGUUUAAGCAAUUCUCUUACUUAAUGGAAGGAACCAACACUCAGAACAACCAAUGCUAUGCAUUUCCUGAAGCAUCAGUCUGAGCUCGGAAGGGAAGUUGUGGCUACUGGGCCCAGGGAAGAAGCAAAUGCCACUUAACACAAAGAGCAAAGUACUACACGUCACCUAUCUGGCUGGCAAACCAAGGGCACUCUGCUCUCCCAUUCCCCUCUGUGAACUACUCAGAACAAGGCUCCUGGUUCUCACCUGGAGCCCCCAUCUUCCAGGUUCUUUCUGCAAGUCUUCCACCAGAGACACGGCCUCCUCCCCACUCUCUGGAUGCUUCUGUCUAACCCAGAUCUGGAUCUCCUGAGGAAGGACAGUCAGGAACUGUUCCAGCACAAGCAACUCCAGGAUCUGCUCUUUCGUACACUUUUCUGGUCUCAGCCACUGAUGGCAGAGCUUCCGGAGUUGGACGAGGGUCUCCCGGCUGAGAAAAAUGUCAGUUAUCCAUACUGACGAAUGAGGAUGGGCUGGAGGAGAUAAUGGGGACAAUAAACCGCCCACCCUCCCAAGCCA
ensembl:lncRNA